GAUGAACGCUAGCUACAGGCUUAACACAUGCAAGUCGCGGGGCAGCAUGGGGGUUGCUUGCAAUCCCCGAUGGCGACCGGCGCACGGGUGAGUAACGCGUAUCCAACCUGCCCUUCACCACGGGAUAACCCGGCGAAAGUCGGACUAAUACCGUAUGUUGUCCAUUGACGGCAUCCGAUUUGGACGAAAGGCUUGGCGGUGGGGGGUGGGGAUGCGUCCGAUUAGCCAGACGGCGGGGUAACGGCCCACCGUGGCUACGAUCGGUAGGGGUUCUGAGAGGAAGGUCCCCCACACUGGAACUGAGACACGGUCCAGACUCCUACGGGAGGCAGCAGUGAGGAAUAUUGGUCAAUGGGCGUAAGCCUGAACCAGCCAAGUAGCGUGCAGGAUGACGGCCCUAUGGGUUGUAAACUGCUUUUAUGCGGGGAUAAAGUGGCCCACGUGUGGGCUUUUGCAGGUACCGCAUGAAUAAGGACCGGCUAAUUCCGUG
rnacentral:rRNA from 1 species